rnacentral:lncRNA from 1 species
AUGCAAGCCUCGUAUGGUAAGUGAACAGCAAGAUGUUCCAUAGAAUCAAAAAAACUCGGAGGGAAAUUCUCUCAAGCUUGCAUAGGAUAAUUGGGAUCUCAGCUUCAAGUUUAGACAUAUCUUUAUUUGUAAUGACUAUUGCAAUUAGAGUCUUGAAAAAUAAGCUCAACUCAGUUAGAGCCUUCCACACAUUCGCCGGCAGUAGUUCACGAAAGGCAAUAGGCAUUAACCUCUGUAUGCAAACAUGUCAGUCGUGGCUUUUCAUGCCAAAC